rnacentral:rRNA from 1 species
AUUGAACGCUGGCGGCAGGCCUAACACAUGCAAGUCGAGCGGAGCGGCGGACGAGUGAGUAAUGCCUAGGAAUCUGCCUGGUAGUGGGGGAUAACGUCCGGAAACGGGCGCUAAUACCGCAUACUAUCAGAUGAGCCUAGGUCGGAUUAGCUAGUUGGUGGGGUAAAGGCCUACGAAGGAGACGAUCCGUAACUGGUCUGAGAGGAGGAUCAGUCACACUGGAACUGAGACACGGUCCAGACGCCUACGGGAGGCAGCAGUGGGGAAUAUGGGACAAUGGGCGAAAGCCUGAUGCAUCCAGGCCGCGUGUGUGAAGAAGGUCGUCGGAUUGUAAAGCGCAUUAAGUUGUGAGGCGUUACCAACAGAAUAAGCACCGGCUAACUACGUGCCAGCAGCCGCGGUAAUUC